GAUAAUGAACCUUUCUUGCUUGCUUCUGCAACACAGAUUAAUAAACGUUUAGUUGAUAUCAUGAGCCAACCGGCUAUUGAUGCUCAAGCAGCUGCUAUUGGUGCAUUAUAUAACCUUUCAGAAAUAAAUAUGGACUGCCGUUUGAAGCUUGCUAGUGAACGAUGGGCUAUUGAUAGACUGUUGAAGGUGAUUAAGAUGCCACAUCCAGUGCCAGAAGUGUGCAGGAAAGCAGCAACGAUUUUGGAAAACCUUGUAUCAGAGCCACAGAACAAGCCCUUCCUGCUAAUGCAUGAAAAUGCAUUUGCGGAGAUGCUUUUUGGUGACCCAAGAUACUCAGACAUAUUUUCCAGGAUACUAUACGAACUGACAUCACGGCCAAGCAACAAAAUGGCAUCAGCUCGGGGGAUCUGGGGCAUGUAACAUCAAACACACAAGGUACUUUGUCUGGUGAUAAUUCAUCUGAAAUAUGUUGUUGUACAUAGAUUUAAUUGUGCUUAGUUAUGCUUUCGUUGUAAACCUAACUUUUAAUUGACCUCAGAAGUGCAGUAUAUAGGUUUGCCAUUUCUGGCCUUCAUUUUAUUCGAAGCUAUUACAACUUUGAAUCACUGUUUGCUUAUACAUCGGAUAUUGCUUAC
rnacentral:misc_RNA from 1 species